ensembl:snRNA U6 U6 spliceosomal RNA
GUGCUUGCUUCAGCAGCACAUAAACAAAAAUUUGAAUGAUACAGAGAUUAACAUGGCCUAUGCAUAACGAUGACAUGCAAAUUCGUGAAGCGUUCCAUAUUAAA